AUGAACGUUGGCGGCGUGGAUUAGGCAUGCGAGUCGUACGAGAACCCGCAAGGGGGAAAGUGGCGAACGGGGUAGUAAGGCGUAGGUGACGUGCCCUGGGGUCGGGGAUAGCUUAGGGAAACUUAAGGUAAUACCCGAUAAUCCCGGUAGGUUUGAAGACCAUCCGGGCAAAGGUGUGAUUCCACCUCAGGAGCGGCUUGCGUGGUAUUAGCUAGUUGGUGAGGUAACGGCUCACCAAGGCUGCGAUGCCUAGGGGAUGUUAGCGCAUGAUCCCCACCACUGGGACUGAGAUACUGCCCAGACACCUACGGGUGGCUGCAGUCGAGAAUCUUCGGCAAUGGGGGAAACCCUGACCGAGCGACGCCGCGUGUGGGAUGAAGGCCCUUGGGUUGUAAACCACUGUCAGAGGGGAUGAAGUGCUAGAAAGCUAUCUUUCUAGUUUGACAUAGCCUCAGAGGAAGCACGGGCUAAGUUCGU
rnacentral:rRNA from 1 species